CACCUGACCCAAAUCUAACCCAAACUUGACCCAAACCUAACCCAAACUGAACCAAACCUAACUGAAACUCAACCAAACCUGACCCAAACUCAUCCAAACUUAACUAAACCAAAACAAGCACACAUUGGCUUCCAGCCACUGCGGUAUGUUGUUCAUGUGUCCCAUCAUCUCCCCAGCCAAUCACUGCCUCACCCAUGAGAUGACCACCAGCCCACUCUUGGACCAUCUGACCUGCAGCUGAACCCUUCCCAGAGUGCUUUUUGGGGUACAAAAAUGAAUGGAAGUGACCAGGAUUUAACAAAGGUGUAAAAGGUCCUUAUUCUGUAAGGGUUUUCUUAUUUCCCACAGUUAUGGUCAUCACCAUCAUCUUAUGGUCACGGUCAUCUCAUGGUCAUCUCACAGUCACCUCACGGUCACAAUCAUCUCACAGCCAUGGUUGUGUCAUCAUCAUCUCAUGUUUUUUAUCACCACACAGCUAUGGUGUGGUGUGGCACCUCUUGGUCAAGAUCAUGUCAUGGUCACAGUCAUGGUCAUCUCAAGGCCUUCAUCAUUUCAUGACCAUGGUGGUGUCAUGGUUAUCUCAUAGUCAUAUCAUUGUCACGAUCAUCUUAUGAUCAUCUUGUGGUCACAGUCAUUUCCUGAUCACCACCAUCAUUUUAUGCUCAUGGUCAUCUCACUGUAAUGGCCAUCUCAUGAUCAUGUCAUUGUCACCUCAUGGUGACAUGUCAUCUCAUGGCCACGAUCAUGUCAGGGUCACCUCAAGGCCACGGCUGUCCCAUGGACAUCUCUUGGUCCAAAUCAUCUCAUGGUCAGGGUUAUGGUUGUGUCAUGGUCAUGGUCAUCUCCUGGUCAUGGUCACAGCCAUGGUCAUGGUCACAGUCAUGGUUAUCCCAUGGUCAUGGUCAUCUCAGGGUUGUGUCACUCAUGGUCACUCUCAUCUCACGGUCAUCUUGUGUUUGUGUCAUGGCCAUGGUCAUGGCCAGGGAACCUCUCUGUGAUCCCAAGCACCGAUUUUGGGACACUCAAGGACACUUGGGGACAGCGAGGACUGGUCUGACCCCUCCCCCCAUCCCACUGCCCCUCCAUGAGCCCGAUGUGGCCAAACCCUCCUGGGGACACCUUGGACAUGGGACACAGAAUGGGAAAUGAAUCCUGGGGAAUGGAGCUGGCCAUGGCUGGCAAGUCCCCACCUUUCUCCUGGUGUCCCCAAUCCAGUCCUGGUGUCCUCUCCCUGCACCUGGUGUCCCCACCCCAGUUCCUGGUGUCCCCAUUCCCAUUCCUGCUGUUCCCAUCCCUAAUCCCAGUGUCCCCAUCCCUAAUCCCAGUGUCCCCACUCCCACUCCAGGCUCCCAGAGAGGAACUGCUGGACACUGGAGGAGGAACCCGGAUUUCUUGCCCCAAGCAGGAUUUCUUGCCCCAAGCAGGAUAAUUUCACACCAGAACUAAAGCAUCAGGAAUAUUUGUGGGUUUUGGCUCUAAAACAUUGGUGUCAUGGGGGUGACUUUACCUUUAAAAUAGCUUUGAGAGCUAAGGAAGUUGAAGCUGCUGGUGGCUGAUGGGAGUUUUUUCUCCUGACUAAUUAUCGGUCAUUUCUAAGAAUUGACAGUAGUUUUGACCAUUGAAAAGCGAGAUCAACUUGUGAACACCACCUUAAGACGUAAAGCCAGAGCUCUCUUGUUCCCUUUGGGUUUCCAGCCUCUGACAAGGUAACAGGCUCUGUCUUAGCCUCCUUCCCCCCCACCUCCAGGCCGGACAAGGCCGCAGAGGGCGGGGGGCGGGGGGCGGUGGGGAGAAACGGAGCCGGCCAGCCUGGUUUGGUUUGCAGUUUCUACUGCUGGAUUGAAACCUGACACUAUUAACAUCUGCAGCUUUUCCAAGACUUUAAUUCUUUUACUACCUGGAUAAAACGUACAGAUUACUCCUUUUUCCCAGAGAGACAAAGAGAGAGAGAGACAAUCAACAUGAAGAAGACAUCAUAAAACCAUCAAAGACAGUGAAGAAAAGAGUUAAGUUUUAGAUGGGGAAGAGAGAAUAAGGAGAUGCUUUAUAAGCUGAAAUAUUUUUCUGUUCAAGCUAUGGAGAUGGACAGUAGUGUUCUGAAAAAAAACUCCUUUAAUUCAUGACAGAGUAUAUUGGGAGGAAUGGAGUG
rnacentral:lncRNA from 1 species